rnacentral:rRNA from 1 species
UAGUCAUAUGCUUGUUCCAAGGACUAAGCCAUGCAUGCCUCAGAAUGACUGCAUUGCAGGAAUCUGCGCAUGGCUCAUUACAUCAGACGUAAUCUGCCGCAAAAAUGUUGCGGUUUCGCAAGAUUGGAUACCUUGGCGAAACGCCAAGCUAAUACAUGAACAAGAAGCACCCUCCACUCCGUGUUUGGCGCAAGUCAAGCAGCGAGGGGCUUUGCGAAUGAAUGAAACUAGAACCAAUGCUCGCAAGAGCAGCAACACAAGCAGUGUUGAAUCAAUUCAUUCCGUGCGAAAGCCGGUUUACCGGCGUCUUUCGAUGAACAACUGCCCUAUCAGCCAGUGAUGGCCGUGUAGUGGACUGCCAUGGCGUUGACGGGAGCGGGGGAUUAGGGUUCGAUUCCGGAGAGGGAGCCUGAGAAAUGGCUACCACUUCUAC